AUUGAACGCUGGCGGCAGGCAUAACACAUGCAAGUCGAGCGGAGCGGCGGACGGGUGAGUAAUGCCUAGGAAUCUGCCUAGUAGCGGGGGAUAACUUCCGGAAACGGGCGCUAAUACAGCAUACUAUCAGAUGAGCCUAGGUCGGAUUAGCUAGAUGGUGGGGUAAAGGCCUACCAAGGCGACGAUCCGUAACUGGUCUGAGAGGAUGAUCAGUCACACUGGAACGGAGACACGGUCCAGCAGCCUACGGGAGUCAGCAGUGGGGAAUAGUGGACAAUGGGCGAAAGCCUGAUCCAGCAAUGCCGCGUGUGUGAAGAAGGUCUUCGGAUUGUAAAGCACUUUAAGUUGGGAGGCGUUACCAACAGAAUAAGCACCGGCUAACUACGUGCCAGCAGCCGCGGUAAUUC
rnacentral:rRNA from 1 species